rnacentral:tRNA from 1 species
AUAAUGGUGGUUCAGCAGUAGAAUUCUCACCUUCCAUGUAGGAGACCUGGGUUCAAUUCCCAGCUAAUGCA